AAGCCAAACCACGUCAUUCGUUUCCGGGACAAUGUGCGGAUUGUGCGGUGUUGUAUCCAUUACGUCGAGUUUCCAACCUUUUUCAUCAUCAAGAUGGAAAGGUGGUUUUGCCUACAAUUUCAGUCCCACUCCCAGUGUGUCAUCUGGCCAAGUGGCCUGAAAUUGCUGUCCGGAUGCCGAAAUGUCGUCUCGUACCAGAAACUUUAAUGCAAUGAUGGUGAAAGAUGUGCUUGACACG
rnacentral:lncRNA from 1 species